rnacentral:rRNA from 1 species
UCCGUGCUGGAGCUAACGCGUUAAAUAUGCCGCCUGGGGAGUACAGUCGCAAGGCUGAAACUCAAAGGAAUUGACGGGGGCCCGCACAAGCGGUGGAGCAUGUGGUUUAAUUCGACGCAACGCGAAGAACCUUACCUGGGCUCGAAAUGCUAUGGACCAGCUUAUGAAAGUAGGCCUUCCCGCAAGGGACCGUAGUAUAGGUGCUGCAUGGCUGUCGUCAGCUCGUGUCGUGAGAUGUUGGGUUAAGUCCCGCAACGAGCGCAACCCUUGUCCUGUGUUGCCAUACUGUAAAAAGUGGAACUCGCAGGAGACCGCCAGGGAUAACCUGGAGGAAGGUGGGGAUGACGUCAAGUCCUCAUGGCCUUUAUGUCCAGGGCUACACACGUGCUACAAUGGACGGUACAAAGGGCUGCCAACCCGCGAGGGGGAGCCAAUCCCAAAAAACCGUUCUCAGUUCGGAUUGCAGGCUGCAACUCGCCUGCAUGAAGCUGGAAUCGCUA